CAUGCAAGUCGAACGGAAAGGCCCCUUCGGGGGUACUCGAGUGGCGAACGGGUGAGUAACACGUGGGUGACCUGCCCUGCACUUUGGGAUAAGCCUGGGAAACUGGGUCUAAUACCGAAUACACCUCAUGGGAUGCAUGUUUUGUGGGGGAAAGCUUUUGCGGUGUGGGAUGGGCCCGCGGCCUAUCAGCUUGUUGGUGAGGUUACGGCUCACCAAGGCGACGACGGGUAGCCGGCCUGAGAGGGUGUCCGGCCACACUGGGACUGAGAUACGGCCCAGACUCCUACGGGAGGCAGCAGUGGGGAAUAUUGCACAAUGGGCGCAAGCCUGAUGCAGCGACGCCGCGUGAGGGAUGACGGCCUUCGGGUUGUAAACCUCUUUCGCCAGGGACGAAGCGCAAGUGACGGUACCUGGAGAAGAAGCACCGGCCAACUACGUGCCAGCAGCCGCGGUAAUACGUAGGGUGCGAGCGUUGUCCGGAAUUACUGGGCGUAAAGAGCUCGUAGGUGGUUUGUCGCGUUGUUCGUGAAAACUCACA
rnacentral:rRNA from 1 species